AUGCACUCUGAUUUCUCUUUUGCAUGCAAUCAUGAGAAUUGCUCCUUCAAAACAAAGCGCAAAGGCAAUUUAAAAAAUCAUAUUUUAUCUGUCCAUAAAAAAACAAGGCUGUGCUGCUCUAACUGUGACAAAACCUUCAGCCAGAAAAAAAAUCUCCAGCGACACAUGAAUCUUUACCAUAAUACACUGAGCACAAUUCAUCAUUGUUCCUUGUGCACUUAUGUGACACAUCGUGCAGACAAUCUUCAAAAACACAAGCUUUCAAUGCACAAGAUUAAAGGAAUGCAAGGAUGGGACCUCCAGACAGAAGAAAGGGCCCCCGAGAAGCCUUUAAGUCCUGUAACCCUCAGUGUUAUUUCGCCACAAAAUAGAAAUGAGCAGUUCUCUCAAAAUCCCAUCGAUGUUAGCUUUUGCUUGAGCACAAGCAUUGCUGAUGGCUCCAACGGCUCUGGAACACCUCUUACAUUGAAUGUUGUUUCAUCACAGAAUAGAGAUGAGCAAAGCUUUACUCAGAAACCUCUGGAUAUGAACUUUUGUUUGAGCACGAGUAUAUCAGGCAGCUCUAAUUUUUCCCCAGUUGUGAGCGUCUCAUGCAGUGACUUCACGGUGAAAAAUCCCUCUUUUAGUAGCCCCCAGCUCAGUCUUGGCCUCCAAGGAUGCAUUCCAGCUUAUACUCAAAAUGGAUCCAAUUUUUCUUUAAUUAGCACAGAAAGCAAGAACCAAAACAAGUCCGUGUCGCAAAUGAUCUCCCUUCCUGACAUAGAUUGCAACAAUACUGGCACCUUAUCUUUCAAUGAAACGGCAGGAACCCUGACAUAUCAUAAUUUGAACUCAGACUCAACAGGAGCCCUAAUUCUUAAUGAAACGACUGGCGAACUGACCUACAUCAAGCUUGUUCCCCAGACAGCCCAGAUGCCGGUGCAUGAGUAUCCCAAUUUUCCAUGCUCUGAAUAUACCCUCCCCUGUACAAACUAUUCUCUCACAAAUGACACUGUAAUUCUGAAUGAAAGCACUGGUGAGCUUGAUUCGAUUAAACAGCAGGAAAUGUUGGAAUUCGACCGCGCUCUAGGAAGGUAUGACGAAGAUGCUGUGCUAUUUGACCCAGCAGAAGAAGAAGAGGAAGAAAAUGAGCUUUUGGAUUUCGACCCAGCAGACUUUAUGAACGAGUCAAACUCAAACCCAGAAAUUCCGGUGCUGAAUGAGUGGACAGGAGAAAUCAACCUAUUGCCAAACAACUUCCUUGGUGGCCCAUUUUUGGAUGAGCAGACAGGGCAGUUGUCUGUUUUUGAUCUCUUUGAUAACGACGCAAUUUUUGACUGUCUGGAAGAGCCACCCUUGCCGAAUGUUAUUCUGAAUGAAAACACCGGGGAGAUACUGCGUAACAAUAAAACAGAGACUGCUACAGAUUAUCGCCCUAAUGAAAUGUUGGCUGAAGCAAGUGAUUGUGCUGUGUUCUGUGAGGAUCUCACAUUAGACAAUGAUUGUGAAUAUUCGCUAAAUGAAGCCACUGGUCAAUUGUCUAUCGCGUGGCCAGAUGUGAGUGAGGACUCAAACAUCUCUUUCUUGUUGAAUGAACUGACCGGAGAGCUGAGUGUCAAAGGAGUGAAUGGAUAG
rnacentral:lncRNA from 1 species